rnacentral:rRNA from 1 species
AUUGAACGCUGGCGGAAUGCUUUACACAUGCAAGUCGAACUGCAGCACGGGGCAACCUGGUGGCGAGUGGCGAACGGGUGAGUAAUACAUCGGAACGUGCCCAAUCGUGGGGGAUAACGUAGCGAAAACUACGCUAAUACCGCAUACGAUCUACGGAUGAAAGCGGGGGAUCGCAAGACCUCGCGCGAAUGGAGCGGCCGAUGGCAGAUUAGGUAGUUGGUGGGGUAAAGGCUCACCAAGCCGACGAUCUGUAGCUGGUCUGAGAGGACGACCAGCCACACUGGGACUGAGACACGGCCCAGACUCCUACGGGAGGCAGCAGUGGGGAAUUUUGGACAAUGGGCGCAAGCCUGAUCCAGCCAUUCCGCGUGCAGGAUGAGGGCCUUCGGGUUGUAAACUGCUUUUGUACGGAACGAAAAGGCUCUGGUUAAUACCCGGGGCUCAUGACGGUACCGUAAGAAUAAGCACCGGCUAACUACGUGCCAGCCGCCGCCGUAA